rnacentral:tRNA from 1 species
AAGAUGUUAGUAAGAACUAUUACAUUGCUUUGUCAAGGCAAAAUUGUGAGUUAAACUCUCACACAUCUU